AAACUGAAGAGUUUUAUCAUGGCUCAGAUUGAACGCUGGUGGCAUGCUUAACACAUGCAAGUCGAACGGUC
rnacentral:rRNA from 1 species